AAUAUUUACAAUAUUUAUAAUGUAUAUUUUUUGAACCACGCCCUUCAACCUUCAGAAAUACUGUCAUGCCUGGACGAAGACUUCGAACAUACUUCUUUUCCACCUUUGGAAAGGGCCGUAACAUUCAGAUCACGCCGCAUGACAUAAAGCAUGCUCUACAAGGCCAUGCUAAAGAUGAAGGUGCUUAUCUCCCUACUGGCACCUGGGGAACACUUUGCCAGUCUUUGCAAAUUCCAAAUUCUCUUUGCAACAAAGUAAGAUUGAAAAACAUUGCACAGGCCCACCUACAGGUAAUAUUUCAACGAGAGAACAGGGAUGAGGAUAUGUGUAUUAAGUUUCUUUUCAAGUUUAUACUUACGAUGGGUUAACGUGUAAGGUAAUAUAGAGAUGCAUAGACAUUAAAUCAAGUAAUGGAACAGUAAAAACAUAGUAAUUAUUGUCUGGGGCAUAUGUUGUUACACACUAACUUUGGCGUUGCAUUCAGUUAGCGUCUUUGUUAAUAAUACUUCA